rnacentral:rRNA from 1 species
UCGCAAUGCCCGAAAGGGUGACGAAGCGACGCCGCGUGUGGGAAGAAGGCCUUCGGGUUGUAAACCACUGUCGGGAGUUAGGAAAUGUAAGGGUGUUAAUAGCAUUCUUAUUUGACAAAAGCUCUAGAGGAAGCCACGGCUAACUCUGUGCCAGCAGCCGCGGUAAUACAGAGGUGGCAAGCGUUGUUCGGAAUUAUUGGGCGUAAAGAGCACGUAGGCGGCCUUGCAAGUCAGCUGUGAAAGCCUUCUGCUUAACGGAAGAACAGCAGUUGAUACUACAGGGCUUGAGUGCGGGAGGGGAGAGUGGAACUUCUGGUGGAGCGGUGAAAUGCGUAGAUAUCAGAAGGAACGCCGGCGGCGAAAGCGGCUCUCUGGCCCGUAACUGACGCUGAGUGUGCGAAAGCUAGGGGAGCAAACGGGAUUAGAUACCCCGGUAGUCCUAGCCGUAAACGAUGGGCACUAA